rnacentral:rRNA from 1 species
UACAGAGGUGGCAAGCGUUGUUCGGAAUUACUGGGCGUAAAGGGCGCGUAGGCGGUCUUGUCAGUCCCUUGUGAAAUCCCCCGGCUCAACUGGGGAACUGCAAGGGAAACAGCAGGGCUUGAGUUCGGGAGAGGGAAGCGGAAUUCCGGGUGUAGCGGUGAAAUGCGUAGAUAUCUGGAGGAACACCGGUGGCGAAGGCGGCAUCCUGGACCGGCAUUGACGCUGAGGCGCGAAAGCCAGGGGAGCAAAGCGGG